GCAAUCCUACUACUCCAAGGUCACUCAUUUCUUCUCCAAUCUAAUCUUGGUGAAGAGACUUAGAGGUUCUCAAUUUUGGGAACUUGGAGAACCAUUUCAUCCACCCAAAUCCAUAGAUCUAAGAUGCAAGGAAUGAAGGCCCUCUCUUUGGGUGAUUAGCCUUUGCUUAUGCAUAGAGGAAUCUACAAAGGUAUAAUUUCUCAACUAACAAAUGUUGUUUUAAGUUGAGUCAAGGCUCACCAAUCUACUAGGCUUUGAAUUUCAUGGUUAAUGUUUUGUUUUUAAGUGCAUACAAGCAUGAUUCCGCCUUUUAAUUGUUAAUUGCAUGCUAUAGAUGUUGCUUAAAUGAAUAUGUUUUUCACAAAAUUUCCUUCAAGCAUUGCACGCAAAACAUGGUGAUUCCACUUUUGGCGGCAUCCAACCACUCUUUGCCGCAUUUGUGAUAGCCCUUUGCACAACAAAAACAUCGUCACGCAAAACAUGCUGCUUCCACAUUUGGCGCCAUCCAACCAUUUUUUGCCGUGUUUUUUUUAUAACACUUUGCGCGACGAACCACUGUUCGUUGUGCAAUACUUUUUUUUUAAUUGCUUUGUUUUUUUAAUUUGAAUUUUUCCAUUCAUUCUUCAAUUUUUUUCAAACCACAUAAAUAGUUAAUAAAUCAAAAACUUAUUUCAUUUAACCAUUUGUGCAUAAUUAAGGAAUAUAAAUAUUUAUUAAAAUGUAUUAAUUUUAUUCAAAAUUAAGUACAUGUUUAAGUAAACUGUCACAGCCCGUCCUGAAUUAUUUAGUUUCGACAAUGUGAAAUGACUAUUUUGCCCUUGGACGUUAGUGGUGUGGUGUGUGUUAUGCAUGUUAGUGGUGGUCCAAACUUAUGUUUUUCCUUAAUUUUGGACCCAAUUAGAACUUUUUUUUUUUUUAUAGUUUUUGGUUGGUGACCAAGCUGGACACACACACACACACACACAUUCACACGUACCAUACACACAAAAACACUCAGAUCUCUCUCUCCUCCCUCCCGCAUUUUCUGGCAUUUCCAUAUAACCCGUACGGACAAAUCUUCAACCUUCCAUUUUGGGCAUGGAUCGAGGUUUUAAAGGUAACAUUCAAAAUCUUUGCAAGCCUUGAAGUCAAUUUAUACCUUUAUUUGGACUUAAAACCUUCGAAAACCCUAGUUUCUCACGAACUCCGAUUUAGGUACUGUUCAUGCACUAAUUAUUGUGAGGUUUUUAAGAGUUUUUAAGGGCAUAGGAAGCUUUAGAUUGUUUUCACGAAGCUCGGAAAAGAAAAUUGAAGUGAUUUGGACGUCGGAAAGUUGAGUUUCGACGAGUUGCAGGUCUAGCCGGAUUAUCGAGGGAUUUUCUGGCAAGUUCCGUGGGUUUUAGGGCUUUUGGAAGGUAUGGUUGUGUUCUAUUCGUAUUAAGCUUCAAAUUGGUUUAAGUUUCAUGCAAUUUGGUUGAUAAAUGGACGAGAAAUGAAGGUUUUAAUGUUUUCCAGUUUUCGAUGACGGCGACGGUCACUGGAGUGCGAAGGUAGGGGAUGACGGAAUAUUUUGUUAAGUUUGACGGAAUAUUCCUAACGGCGUUGGUUAGUUUUAACGGUUUCCGUUACUUUUUAGUAGAAUAUUACACGAAAUAUUCCUAACGGGGUUAGGGGAUUCCUUUAGGGUGCGUUUGGUACGUGGGACGGGACGAGGCG
rnacentral:lncRNA from 1 species